rnacentral:rRNA from 1 species
CGACGCCGCGUGAGGGAGGAAGGCCUUCGGGUUGUAAACUCUUUUGACGAGGAAGAACACAAUGACGGUACUCGUCGAAUAAGCCCCGGCUAACUCCGUGC